rnacentral:rRNA from 1 species
GAAGACGGUCAUAGUGGGUUGGAAACACCUGUUCUCAUUCCGAACACAGAAGUUAAGCUUCCCAUGUUGACGGCAAGUAGUGUCGUAGUGAUGCGAAACCAUCAAGCUGUCUUCU